rnacentral:rRNA from 1 species
GACGAACGCUGGCGGCGUGCUUAACACAUGCAAGUCGAACGGAAAGGCCUGCUUUCCCUUGUGGAUUGCGGGUACUCGAGUGGCGAACGGGUGAGUAACACGUGAGUGAUCUGCCCCCAACUUGGGUAUAAGCCUGGGAAACUGGGUCUAAUUCCCGGUAGGACUGCAGGGUGGUGCCUGUGGUGGAAAACGAUUUUCUAGUGGUUGGGGAUGAGCUCGCGGCCUAUCAGCUUGUUGGUGGGGUAAUGGCCUACCAAGGCGGCGACGGGUAGCCGGCCUGAGAGGGUGGACGGCCACAUUGGGACUGGGAUACGGCCCAGACUCCUACGGGAGGCAGCAGUGGGGAAUAUUGCACAAUGGGCGGAAGCCUGAUGCAGCGACGCCGCGUGGGGGAUGACGGCCUUCGGGUUGUAAACUCCUUUCGACCGCGAGGAAGCCACCUGGUUGGAAGGGUGGUGACGGUAGUGGUAGAAGAAGCACCGGCUAACUACGUG